GAGAGGCUAUAGGCAUCUAGCAUCUGAUGUAUUUUGCCCAGGUAAUCCUAACCAGGUGAGUACAUUUUCAGCCGAAGAACUUUGCUAUGCUGACGAAGUAUUCUCGGGGAUAUUCCAAUAUAUAAAGGUUUGUUAUGGUAAUGAGUUCUGGUAAUUGGACUCAACGGUCACAUAUACCCUAUUAUUAAUAGUUUCCGAAGUCAUAUUAUCCCCUAACUGGACUUGCAUUUAUCUUUUUCAUCUGCUGUUCUAACUGUUGUUUUCAGAAUAAUAUGCAUGCAAUGUAUUCGGAGGCAAGAUAUACAAAAACAUACCGAUGGUUUUCUUGCAAGUU
rnacentral:miRNA from 1 species